rnacentral:rRNA from 1 species
UUAAGCGACUAAGCGUACACGGUGGAUGCCCUGGCAGUCAGAGGCGAUGAAGGGCGUGCUAAUCUGCGAUAAGCGCCGGUAAGGUGAUAUGAACCGUUAUAACCGGCGAUACCCGAAUGGGGAAACCCAGUGUGACUCGUCACACUAUCAUUAACUGAAUCCAUAGGUUAAUGAGGCGAACCGGGGGAACUGAAACAUCUAAGUACCCCGAGGAAAAGAAAUCAACCGAGAUUCCCCCAGUAGCGGCGAGCGAACGGGGAGGAGCCCAGAGCCUGAAUCAGCAUGUGUGUUAGUGGAAGCGUCUGGAAAGGCGCGCGAUACAGGGUGACAGCCCCGUACACAAAAGCGCAUGUGCUGUGAGCUCGAUGAGUAGGGCGGGACACGUGGUAUCCUGUCUGAAUAUGGGGGGACCAUCCUCCAAGGCUAAAUACUCCUGACUGACCGAUAGUGAACCAGUACCGUGAGGGAAAGGCGAAAAGAACCCCGGCGAGGGGAGUGAAAAAGAACCUGAAACCGUGUACGUACAAGCAGUGGGAGCACAGGUUUACCUGUGUGACUGCGUACCUUUUGUAUAAUGGGUCAGCGACUUAUAUUCUGUAGCAAGGUUAACCGCAUAGGGGAGCCGGAGGGAAACCGAGUCUUAACCGGGCGUUAAGUUGCAGGGUAUAGACCCGAAACCCGGUGAUCUAGCCAUGGGCAGGUUGAAGGUUGGGUAACACUAACUGGAGGACCGAACCGACUAAUGUUGAAAAAUUAGCGGAUGACCUGUGGCUGGGGGUGAAAGGCCAAUCAAACCGGGAGAUAGCUGGUUCUCCCCGAAAGCUAUUUAGGUAGCGCCUCGUGAAUUCAUCUCCGGGGGUAGAGCACUGUUUCGGCUAGGGGGCCAUCCCGGCUUACCAACCCGAUGCAAACUGCGAAUACCGGAGAAUGUUAUCACGGGAGACACACGGCGGGUGCUAACGUCCGUCGUGAAGAGGGAAACAACCCAGACCGCCAGCUAAGGUCCCAAAGUCAUGGUUAAGUGGGAAACGAUGUGGGAAGGCCCAGACAGCCAGGAUGUUGGCUUAGAAGCAGCCAUCAUUUAAAGAAAGCGUAAUAGCUCACUGGUCGAGUCGGCCUGCGCGGAAGAUGUAACGGGGCUAAACCAUGCACCGAAGCUGCGGCAGCGACGCUUAUGCGUUGUUGGGUAGGGGAGCGUUCUGUAAGCCUGUGAAGGUGGCCUGUGAGGGUUGCUGGAGGUAUCAGAAGUGCGAAUGCUGACAUAAGUAACGAUAAAGCGGGUGAAAAGCCCGCUCGCCGGAAGACCAAGGGUUCCUGUCCAACGUUAAUCGGGGCAGGGUGAGUCGACCCCUAAGGCGAGGCCGAAAGGCGUAGUCGAUGGGAAACGGGUUAAUAUUCCCGUACUUGGUGUUACUGCGAAGGGGGGACGGAGAAGGCUAUGUUGGCCGGGCGACGGUUGUCCCGGUUUAAGCGUGUAGGUGUGUGUUCCAGGUAAAUCCGGUUCACUUUAACACUGAGGCGUGAUGACGAGGCACUACGGUGCUGAAGCAACAAAUGCCCUGCUUCCAGGAAAAGCCUCUAAGCAUCAGGUAACAUCAAAUCGUACCCCAAACCGACACAGGUGGUCAGGUAGAGAAUACCAAGGCGCUUGAGAGAACUCGGGUGAAGGAACUAGGCAAAAUGGUGCCGUAACUUCGGGAGAAGGCACGCUGACACGUAGGUGAAGUGAUUUACUCAUGGAGCUGAAGUCAGUCGAAGAUACCAGCUGGCUGCAACUGUUUAUUAAAAACACAGCACUGUGCAAACACGAAAGUGGACGUAUACGGUGUGACGCCUGCCCGGUGCCGGAAGGUUAAUUGAUGGGGUCAGCGCAAGCGAAGCUCCUGAUCGAAGCCCCGGUAAACGGCGGCCGUAACUAUAACGGUCCUAAGGUAGCGAAAUUCCUUGUCGGGUAAGUUCCGACCUGCACGAAUGGCGUAAUGAUGGCCAGGCUGUCUCCACCCGAGACUCAGUGAAAUUGAACUCGCUGUGAAGAUGCAGUGUACCCGCGGCAAGACGGAAAGACCCCGUGAACCUUUACUAUAGCUUGACACUGAACAUUGAGCCUUGAUGUGUAGGAUAGGUGGGAGGCUUUGAAGCGUGGACGCCAGUCUGCGUGGAGCCGACCUUGAAAUACCACCCUUUAAUGUUUGAUGUUCUAACGUGGACCCGUNAUCCGGGUUGCGGACAGUGUCUGGUGGGUAGUUUGACUGGGGCGGUCUCCUCCUAAAGAGUAACGGAGGAGCACGAAGGUUGGCUAAUCCUGGUCGGACAUCAGGAGGUUAGUGCAAUGGCAUAAGCCAGCUUGACUGCGAGCGUGACGGCGCGAGCAGGUGCGAAAGCAGGUCAUAGUGAUCCGGUGGUUCUGAAUGGAAGGGCCAUCGCUCAACGGAUAAAAGGUACUCCGGGGAUAACAGGCUGAUACCGCCCAAGAGUUCAUAUCGACGGCGGUGUUUGGCACCUCGAUGUCGGCUCAUCACAUCCUGGGGCUGAAGUAGGUCCCAAGGGUAUGGCUGUUCGCCAUUUAAAGUGGUACGCGAGCUGGGUUUAGAACGUCGUGAGACAGUUCGGUCCCUAUCUGCCGUGGGCGCUGGAGAACUGAGGGGGGCUGCUCCUAGUACGAGAGGACCGGAGUGGACGCAUCACUGGUGUUCGGGUUGUCAUGCCAAUGGCACUGCCCGGUAGCUAAAUGCGGAAGAGAUAAGUGCUGAAAGCAUCUAAGCACGAAACUUGCCCCGAGAUGAGUUCUCCCUGAGACUUAGAGUCUCCUGAAGGAACGUUGAAGACGACGACGUUGAUAGGCCGGGUGUGUAAGCGCAGCGAUGCGUUGAGCUAACCGGUACUAAUGAACCGUGAGGCUUAACCUU